GAUGAACGCUGGCGGCGUGCCUAAUACAUGCAAGUCGAGCGAAUGGAUUAAGAGCUUGCUCUUAUGAAGUUAGCGGCGGACGGGUGAGUAACACGUGGGUAACCUGCCCAUAAGACUGGGAUAACUCCGGGAAACCGGGGCUAAUGCCGGAUAACAUUUUGAACCGCAUGGUUCGAAAUUGAAAGGCGGCUUCGGAUGUCACUUAUGGAUGGACCCGCGUCGCAUUUGCUAGUUGGUGAGGUAAGGGCUCACCAAGGCAACGAUGCGUAGCCGACCUGAGAGGGUGAUCGGCCACACUGGGACUGAGACACGGCCCAGACUCCUACGGGAGGCAGCAGUAGGGAAUCUUCCGCAAUGGACGAAAGUCUGACUGAGCAACGCCGCGUGAGUGAUGAAGGCUUUCGGGUCGUAAAACUCUGUUGUUAGGGAAGAACAAGUGCUAGUUGAAUAAGCUGACACCUUGACGGUACCUAACCAGAAAGCCACGGCUAACUACGUGCCAGCCGCCGCAGUAA
rnacentral:rRNA from 1 species